CACAAAUGGAUGAAUGAAGUGCGUGACUUAUUUUCGCCAGCUUUAGGGGGCAUAUAGAAUUGGACGGCAGCAGUGGAAGGCCGCCGGUAAAGAAACGUGUGCCACGGUUGUUUUGUGGCGGAAGAGAUAAGUUUCGAAGAGACAAUAUCACAAACACUAUCUCGGGCUGGUCCCCGCACAUCAUUCCGUGCAUCUUUUUGGGGGAUGUAUGUAAUUGGUUUUUCUGUUUUUUCUAAUGCAUGCAUGUAAUUAUUGCUCUUAUUAUAUUUGGG
rnacentral:lncRNA from 1 species